UCAUAAUAAUUAAAAUAAAAAGUUGAUGAUUGCUUUUGACCCAUACAAGACAAGUUCUUACAGUUCAACCUAACACAUUACCAUAUUCUAAGUUAAUGGCUGUUUUUUUCAACUUAGUAUUUGGAUUAAAGUUCCAAUACUGAAUUAGACUAAAAUAAUUAAUUGAAAGCAUAAGAGACAAGAAAAAGUAUAUGAAAACUUAAUUUAUUAGAGAAUAAUUUUUUUUUAUUAAGUAAAAGCUUUAAACAAAAACCAGUAAUUCCACAAACCAACAAUGACUCGGUAGCAUGCAAGUACUGUAGGCUGGAGAGGCACGUUUGCUCUUGAUGAAUCUAUA